rnacentral:lncRNA from 1 species
GGCAGUUGUGAGCCAUUACCAUGAGUGCUAGAAACUGAACUUUGGUCCUCUGCAAGGACACACGCCCUUACCACUGGGCAUGGCAGUACACCUCUUUAAUCCCAGUACUUAGGAGACAGAAGCAGACAGUGCUGCCUAAUUUACAUAGUUAAGUUUCAGGACAGCCAGAUUAUGUGAGACAGACUCUGUCUUAAAAACACCCAAAAGAACAGUACAAGCUUAACUACUUGGCCAUCUCUCCAGUGUCAAUGGAUUUAUUCUUCCUUUUGUGAGCUGCAUGGUGUCGAUACUGAGAACCUAAUUUGGGUUCUGGCGAGUGGUGUUACUCAGUGAACCAUCUUGAUGACCUUGUACUCCCCCCUCCUCCUGCUCCCAAAUGCUGCAAUUUCAAAUGUGUGUCACUGAACUCAACAUAGGUCUUCUUACAUACAAACCACUGCACUGAAGGAGGAAAUGAGUUAGCAGGGAGGCAGUGCCUUUACUACACAUUUAAGCUGUGAUACGACCUAAUUAUCAAUUCCCAAACUAACUGGAAAUUUACAUGCUAGCUAUGCAUAGUGCUGCACACCUAUAAUCCCAGUUUUCAGGAGACAAAGACGUGAUGGCUGCAAACUCCAGGCUAGCCUGGGGUAUACAGUGGAGAGUCUGUUUAAAAAAAAAAAAAAAGGUGCAGGGAAUAGUUGUGCUACUGAAUAAGAUGCAGGACUGGGGCUGGAAAUCCCCUACCUAAGAUCACAUGUGAGAACAGAAGUCCCAAGUCCUCUCAUUGGAAACACCUAACCUGGAAGGUCAGAGUGGGCUAGGAAGU